ACAUAGUAGAUUGUGUACGGUCCUACCAGACCAUAUGCUUUCGCGUCCAGCUAGCCUAGCAACUACUCCAAUGGGAGAGUACACCAGUUCUUCCCACACAUCAAUUCCAAUUGUUUCUCUAAUGUGGGGGAAAUUUCUUGGACGGAAAUUGUGAUUAAUUUCUUGGACGGAAAUUGUGAUUAAUUUCUUUUUUUCCAGGUUAGAAGACCCUUCAGGGUAAAGUCUUGGAGGGUAAUCCCGUGAUUUAACUUCAGCAACAUCCUUCUAAUCAUAUAACCCAACAAUAAAUUAGCCACAAGAUAAUAAUAACACAUCUGUACUAUAACAAUAACUCAGCCACAAAAUGUUUGAAUAACUCAGUCACAACAUAACUGUAACUCACCCACAACAUAAAAGUAACUCAGCCACAACAUAACAUUAACUUAGUUGCGACACAGCAAUAACUCGGCCAUAACAUAACCCUAACUCAGUC
rnacentral:lncRNA from 1 species